GACGAACGCUGGCGGCGCGCCUAACACAUGCAAGUCGAACGGAGUCAAGAGGAGCUUGCUUUUCUUGACUUAGUGGCGAACGGGUGAGUAACGCGUGAGUAACCUGCCCUGGAGUGGGGGACAACAGUUGGAAACGACUGCUAAUACCGCAUAAGCCCACGGAUCCGCAUGGAUCUGCGGGAAAAGGAUUUAUUCGCUUCAGGAUGGACUCGCGUCCAAUUAGCUAGUUGGUGAGGUAACGGCCCACCAAGGCGACGAUUGGUAGCCGGACUGAGAGGUUGAACGGCGACAUUGGGACUGAGACACGGCCCAGACUCCUACGGGAGGCAGCAGUGGGGGAUAUUGCACAAUGGGGGAAACACUGAUGCAGCGACGCCGCGUGGAGGAAGAAGGUUUUCGGAUUGUAAACUCCUGUCGUUAGGGACGAUAAUGACGGUACCUAACAAGAAAGCACCGGCUAACUACGUG
rnacentral:rRNA from 1 species